UCCGGGGUCGUCUAACGGCAGGACACCACCCUUUGGAGGUGGGUACGAAGGUUCGAAUCCUUCUCCCGGAACCA
rnacentral:tRNA from 1 species